UACAGAGGUGCCGAGCGUUAGGCGGAAUCACUGGGCUUAAAGCGUGUGUAGGCGGAUUUUUAAGUACCUUGUGAAAUCCCACGGCUUAACCGUGGAACUGCUGGGUAUACUGGAUAUCUUGAGCCAACUAGGGGCCACCGGAACAAAUGGUGGAGCGGUGAAAUGCGUAGAUAUCAUUUGGAACGCCAAUGGUGAAAACAGGUAGCUGGGGUUGUGCUGACGCUGAGACACGAAAGCCAGGGGAGCGAACGGG
rnacentral:rRNA from 1 species